rnacentral:rRNA from 1 species
AGCCUUAGGAAAUAAUCUAAGGUUAAACCUGCCCAAUGUAUAGAGUAUUAAUGGCCGCGGUACUUUGACCGUGCUAAGGUAGCGUAAUCAGUUGGCUUUUAAUUGGGGUCAGGAAUGAAUGGAAUCUCGUAUUUUAUCUGUCUCCUAACUAUUUUUUUGAAAUUACCAUAUAGAUGAAAAGGUCUAUAAUUAGAAAAAAGACGAGAAGACCCUUAGAGUUUUACUAAAAAUAAUAAUGAAAUGUUAGUAUAAUUAUUUCGGUUUGGUUGGGGCAACAUAGGAGAAAUAAUUUAUCAAUAUAACCUCCAGGAUUAAAUAUACCGAUUAUUUUAAAUUUGAAAAAACUACCUUAGGGAUAACAGCAUUAUUUAAAAAAUAAGUUUGUGACCUCGAUGUUGGACUGGGAAACUAAAAGGCUAGCCGUUUUUUAGGAUGGUUCUGUUCGAACUAUUAAAUUCCC